rnacentral:rRNA from 1 species
CACGUAGGGUGCGAGCGUUGUCCGGAAUUAUUGGGCGUAAAGAGCUCGUAGGCGGUGUGUCGCGUCGGCCGUGAAAACCUGCAGCUUAACUGUGGGCGUGCGGUCGAUACGGGCAUCACUGGAGUUCGGCAGGGGAGACUGGAAUUCCUGGUGUAGCGGUGAAAUGCGCAGAUAUCAGGAGGAACACCGGUGGCGAAGGCGGGUCUCUGGGCAUUAACUGACGCUGAGACGCGAAAGCGUGGGGAGCAAACAGG